CCUACGGGGGGCUGCAGUGGGGAAUAUUGGACAAUGGGGGGAACCCUGAUCCAGCCAUGCCGCGUGUGUGAAGAAGGCCCUCGGGUUGUAAAGCACUUUCAGUGAGGAAGAACGCCUGGUGGUUAAUACCCAUCAGGAAAGACAUCACUCACAGAAGAAGCACCGGCUAACUCCGUGCCAGCAGCCGCGGUAAUACGGAGGGUGCGAGCGUUAAUCGGAAUUACUGGGCGUAAAGCGCGCGUAGGUGGCUUGAUAAGCCGGUUGUGAAAGCCCCGGGCUCAACCUGGGAACGGCAUCCGGAACUGUCAAGCUAGAGUGCAGGAGAGGAAGGUAGAAUUGCCGGUGUAGCGGUGAAAUGCGUAGAGAUCGGGAGGAAUACCAGUGGCGAAGGCGGCCUUCUGGACUGACACUGACACUGAGGUGCGAAAGCGUGGGUAGCAAACAGGAUUAGAUACCCCAGUAGUC
rnacentral:rRNA from 1 species